CAAUAGCGUAUAUUUAAGUUGUUGCAGUUAAAAAGCUCGUAGUUGGAUUUUGGGUCGGGGGCACCGGUCCGCCGUUCCGGUGUGCACUGGUGGCCCCUUCCUUUCUGCCGGGGACGUGCGUCGCACUUAAUUGGGUGGCGUUCGGAGUCGGCGUUGUUACUUUGAAAAAAUUAGAGUGUUCAAAGCAAGCCAUCGCUCUGAAUACAUUAGCAUGGAAUAACAUGAUAGGACUCCGGUCUUAUUUUGUUGGUUUCCGAGACUGGAGUAAUGAUUAAGAGGGACAGUCGGGGGCAUCCGUAUUUCAUUGUCAGAGGUGAAAUUCUUGGAUUUAUGAAAGACGAACUUCUGCGAAAGCAUUUGCCAAGGAUGCUUUCAUUAA
rnacentral:rRNA from 1 species